GACGAACGCUGGCGGCGCGCCUAACACAUGCAAGUCGAACGAGAGAUGAGGAGCUUGCUCUUCAAAUCGAGUGGCGAACGGGUGAGUAACGCGUGAGGAACCUGCCUCAAAGAGGGGGACAACAGUUGGAAACGACUGCUAAUACCGCAUAAGCCCACGGCUCGGCAUCGAGCAGGGGGAAAAGGAGCAAUCCGCUUUGAGAUGGCCUCGCGUCCGAUUAGCUAGUUGGUGAGGUAACGGCCCACCAAGGCGACGAUCGGUAGCCGGACUGAGAGGUUGAACGGCCACAUUGGGACUGAGACACGGCCCAGACUCCUACGGGAGGCAGCAGUGGGGAAUAUUGCACAAUGGGGGAAACCCUGAUGCAGCGACGCCGCGUGGAGGAAGAAGGUCUUCGGAUUGUAAACUCCUGUUGU
rnacentral:rRNA from 1 species